rnacentral:miRNA from 1 species
CCCCAGAUGUUGCUGAACUACAACUCCCAUGAUUCUUUCAAUGAAACAGCCAGGAAAUCAUGGGAGUUGUAGUUCAGCAACAUCUGGGG